GACGGAAAGCAAGUUGUGGAUCUAGACCGUGUUCCCCUCGUCUUUACUCUUCACUGAUGUAGCCUGAUCCAACGUUUACUUCUGACCUUCUAGGUUCUUUGCUCAGCUUUCUUCCAGCAUUUUCACUUUUUGUAUGUGACCAGUUUCCCCACUGAAAUAAAUGAUACGCAGACCCCCACCCGUCGCAGCGACAUCUCAAAACUUCAUCUGUGCAAUCGUACAACCAGGUGGUCGGUGUCACAUUUCAUUGAGAGAUGUUCCAUGGAUCAGUGUAGGACCAGGGAGAUGGUGUCUGUUGUGGACCUGUUGUGCCGGGCAUCAUGUGCAAUAACAACUCUCCGCAUUAGAAACAACCUUCCAGCCUGAAACAUUCAGUUGGUCUUGCUUACUUGAAGAAUUUUAAAAGUCCAAAGGAACAAGAUAUCUUAUAGAAGUAAUCUGCACUCUACAUCAUAAAGUAUUAAACAUAGUUUCUGUAAUUAUUAUAGUAUGAAAUAUAAUGAUGCAACAAAGAUUGGAGCAUAGGAAUUCAUCACCCUUUACAUUUGGAAUAAUAUUCAUUCA